UGGGGAAUUUUGGACAAUGGGCGAAAGCCUGAUCCAGCAAUGCCGCGUGUGUGAAGAAGGCCUUCGGGUUGUAAAGCACUUUUGUCCGGAAAGAAAUCCUUGGCUCUAAUACAGUCGGGGGAUGACGGUACCGGAAGAAUAAGCACCGGCUAACUACGUGCCAGCAGCCGCGGUAAUACGUAGGGUGCAAGCGUUAAUCGGAAUUACUGGGCGUAAAGCGUGCGCAGGCGGUUUGCUAAGACCGAUGUGAAAUCCCCGGGCUCAACCUGGGAACUGCAUUGGUGACUGGCAGGCUAGAGUAUGGCAGAGGGGGGUAGAAUUCCACGUGUAGCAGUGAAAUGCGUAGAGAUGUGGAGGAAUACCGAUGGCGAAGGCGAGCCCCUGGGCCAAUACUGACGCUCAUGCACGAAAGCGUGGGGGAGCAAAACAGGAUUAGAUACCCCUGGGUAGUCCACGCCCUAAAACGAUGUCAACUAGUUGUUGGGGAUUCAUUUCCUUAGUAACGUAGCUAACGCGUGAAGUUGACCGCCUGGGGGAGUACGGUCGCAAGAUUAAAACUCAAAUGAAUUGACGGGGUCAUAGCUGUUUCCU
rnacentral:rRNA from 1 species